rnacentral:rRNA from 1 species
UACGUAGGGUGCGAGCGUUAUUCGGAAUUACUGGGCGUAAAGUGUGCGCAGGCGGCCGAGCAAGUCGAGUGUGAAAGCCCCGAGCUUAACUUGGGAACUGCGCUCGAAACUACUUGGCUAGAGUGUGGCAGAGGGAGGUGGAAUUCCACGUGUAGCGGUGAAAUGCGUAGAGAUGUGGAGGAACACCGAUGGCGAAGGCAGCCUCCUGGGCCAACAUUGACGCUGAGGCACGAAAGCGUGGGGAGCAAACAGG